rnacentral:lncRNA from 1 species
UACCUUGAGCAGCUAUUCUGCCAACUCCUUCUCAAGUGAAACCCUCACUGGCCUGGUAGCCCCUUGAGCAUCCCCAUCCACCUAGAAAUCACGAUGUGUGCAAACAGAAAAGGUGUGUGGCUCUCCUCAGUGAAAGGCCUUCCCUUGAAAUGAGAGUAGCUCUGAGUACCUUUCUAACAUCAUUUGCCUGUAAAACGCCUAUAAAUGCUUUUCCAGGUCCUUCAGAUAACUGGCUGCCUCCCUAGGAGAAUAUUGCAUUGGUCGCAUAAGCCCAGGCCAAGCAGAACUGAGAGAGUCCCGCAAUCCAGCGCAUUAUUUUUCUUACUGGAAAGAUGCCCUACUGGGGGCAGGCACCCAAUGGGCAAAGCAGUGGCAUGUGCUGAAAAUGCCACUGCAGCCUGCUACACGCCUCCAUGACUCCUCAGCAGACCUCCCUGGAGCACUUUUCAUCCCUGAAAAGAACUGUUAUAUAGGAGACACCGUGAAGGUCUGAGUGGCCUGCUUCUGCAGCAGCUGGCGUAGCUGCUUAUGCUGGAAAGCAUUUAUAUGAAGUAUUUUUCAGUCCUCCAAAACUGCCAUCUCAAGAAAUGAUUAUGUAUGGUAACAGAACGGUUGGGGGGACUUCAACCCAAAAUAUCCUGUUCAUAAGUCUACAGUGCAAAAACCACAACACACCUUGCAAGAAGCAAGUAAGUCCUGAAGUGGAAAAAUAACAUUGUAGUGUCAUUCUCUGAUACUACCAGGACAAAAAGCCCUGCCAAGACCAACUGGAAGCAGAUGAUCUGUGGCUCAUAAUCUGUCCACCAAAGGUCAAGGAUAUUCAUUUGCAGAGACAGAAAAAAGGUACUGCUACUAACACUUGGUGACAGCUCACAAGCCUUUUUGUCUAGUGCGAGGCAGUCAGUGAGGAGGGAGCCCACACCAGCAUGGAUGGACACGUGAGCUGUCAUCAGCAAUGUACACUGCAGCUGCAUCACCAGGACCUGUAUUUUUCUACUUGUUUUUAUAUCAUAUCCUAUAAAAAGUCAGCUUGGGGCUCUGACAGUCUGCAGGGGAAGCAGGUGGGAAGCUCUCGGAAGACUCAGCAAUCAGUUCCUGUUCCUAAGAAGAACCCUGUGAAAUCAUUCUGGACACCUGCAAAUGCCUUCAUAUCUUAAAGUGAGUAAUUACACUU